GGCGAAUAUAGCCAAGUGGUGACGGUAAUAGACUGUGACUCUACAAUUCGCGGGUUCGAAUCCCGUUAUUCGCCU
rnacentral:tRNA from 1 species